UACGUAGGGUGCAAGCGUUGUCCGGAAUUAUUGGGCGUAACGAGCUCGUAGGCGGUUUGUUGCGUCGGCUGUGAAAUCCCGAGGCUCAACCUCGGGUCUGCAGUCGAUACGAGCAAACUAGAGUGUUGCAGGGGAGACUGGAAUUCCUGGUGUAGCGGUGAAAUGCGCAGAUAUCAGGAGGAACACCGGUGGCGAAGGCGGGUCUCUGGGCAGUAACUGACGCUGAGGAGCGAAAGCGUGGGGAGCGAACAGG
rnacentral:rRNA from 1 species